GGGCCACGUUAGUUCAUCCAGUCUAGUAUCUGUAAGCUGAAUGAUACUGAUGGAUUUACUUGAAAACAGAAACGGACAACGAUAGAGGUCUUGUUAAUAAAGUUCCGACUGCCUGAUCAUGGCUUUGACUAUAUCAGAUAUGGUAGAGACUUUAAAGAAUGCUAUGCAAGACCUUCAACUGACACAGAACCGCAUAAAAGAGAAAACAAAUGCU